UGCAAGUCGAACGGGAUUUCGGGUAGCAAUAUCUGGAUGAGAGUGGCGCACGGGUGCGUAACGCGUAUGCAACUUACCUCUAACUGGGGAAUAGCCUUCCGAAAGGAAGAUUAACACCGCAUAAUGCAUCGAUGAAGCAUUUCAUUGAUGCCAAAACUCAGGUGGUUAGAGAUAGGCAUGCGUUCGAUUAGCUAGUUGGUGAGGUAACGGCUCACCAAGGCUACGAUCGAUAGGGGGUCUGAGAGGAUGAUCCCCCACACUGGUACUGAGACACGGACCAGACUCCUACGGGAGGCAGCAGUAAGGAAUAUUGGACAAUGGGCGCAAGCCUGAUCCAGCCAUGCCGCGUGCAGGAUUAAGGCCCUAUGGGUUGUAAACUGCUUUUGGCGGGGAAAAAACCCUCUCACGUGUGAGAGGCUGAUGGUACCCGCAGAAUAAGGAUCGGCUAACUCCGUGCCAGCAGCCGCGGUAAUACGGAGGAUCCAAGCGUUAUCCGGAUUUAUUGGGUUUAAAGGGUGCGUAGGCGGAUUAGUAAGUCAGUGGUGAAAGCCCGCAGCUUAACUGUAGAAUUGCCAUUGAUACUGCUAGUCUUGAAUGUAGUUGAGGUGGGCGGAAUAUGACAUGUAGCGGUGAAAUGCUUAGAUAUGUCAUAGAACACCGAUUGCGAAGGCAGCUCACUAAGCUAUGAUUGACGCUGAGGCACGAAAGCGUGGGGAGCAAACAGGAUUAGAUACCCUGGUAGUCCACGCCCUAAACUAUGAUUACUCGAUGUUGGCGAUACACAGUCAGCGUCUAAGCGAAAGCGUUAAGUAAUCCAYCUGGGGAGUACGCCCGCAAGGGUGAAACUCAAAGGAAUUGACGGGGCCCGCACAAGCGGAGGAGCAUGUGGUUUAAUUCGAUGAUACGCGAGGAAY
rnacentral:rRNA from 1 species